CAGCCUGAGAGAGUGGAAGGUGUCCCUGCCAUGGCAGGGGUGGAAUGAGAUGAUCUUUCAGAUCUCUUCUUUCCCAAACCAUUCCAUGAUUACCACAAGGACAUAAAAUGCACCUUAAAGGAGAGGAUCACUAUGACACCUGUGAACCGAACAUGUGUGUCUUGUUUAAGCAUAGGACCAUGGGCUCAAAAGGUUUUUAAAUUAUCUACCAGCAGUCUGGUCUUCUUAUUUGUGCUUAUUAGCUCCCUAAAAAGAGAUGUGACUCUGCAAGUGGUGCUUCCAAUGCAUAAGGUAGAAAGAAGAGGUGCAGAAAUGAUUCAAGAGAUGAAAGUCCAUUUUUAAAAAUGGUGGUGCAAGGAGACAUUCAGCUAUGAAAAAGGAGCUGAUAAAGAGAAAAAACAACUGCCUGAAAGAUGAGGGAGAAGACCUUUAAAAUUAUCAGGUCAGUUCAUAUCUUCAUACCCUAUCAGAAAACUAAAACAGAAUUGAUUGAGCAUAGGCAGAUGAUGAAAAAUUCAAGGAACAAUAAAACAAUUUUUUGGUUAUUUCACAAAAUAUAUCACAGUUCAUGCAAAAAUUACAAAGGGGAUACAGGAAUUCUCUGGUAAAUUCCAAGCAGAAAUGUGAAAGGACAAAACAUUUAAAAGGUUCUAUAGGAAAAAAAAAAAAAAAAAAAAAGGAAAAAAAAAGGCAGGACAUUUGUCUUUCCUAUGGGAAUUUCCACACAGUGACAAACUUUUCACUGAACAAGAAUUGCUGUCAACAGGUGCUGUCAGCAUCACAUGAACCAACCUCCAAAAAAAUUUGAGAUUUAGAGGAAUCAGGAAAAGAAAUGUAUGUUAAUUUAAGAUCUAGAUCAGUCUUUCCCCAGUUUCUGAAGUUCCUGGUUUCAGUCUGGAUUAGGACCUAAUCCAUGUUAGAAAAUUAGUAGAGGUACUUAUGAUUUCCUGCAAUUUCAUUCUUUCAGAAUUACAAAAGCACAAAUUCUCUUCUUUUUUUUCAGGUUAAGUCAUUUUCAUGUUGAUAUAAAUCUAUAUUUUGCUCAUUUUUUCACACUGGAUCACUUCAUUUUUUUUUCUUUUUUUUUUGUUGUUUUUUUUUUGUGUUUUUUUUGGUGAAGUGGCCACAGAUGUCUUUUCAAGAACAUUUCAAAACCACAAUUAAAAAAAAAAAAAAAAAAGAAGAAGUGCUUUGUGCUUAGUUACCUUUCUCUAAAGCAUCCUCAGUGUUUUCUGUGAAUAUUAAUUCCUAGCAUUGGCCCUGAAUGUGGGAAAUUUUAAUUUUGAAACGAUGAAAUCAUUCCUUUAUUUUUGGUCCUUGUUCUGGUGUUGUACAUCUGAGAAGGAAAACAUUCUGUAAUACUGUUUCUAGCUCAGAGGCUAAAAUUAGUCUGAAAUUCAGCUUACUAAUUAUCUCACAUAUCCGACUGUACAGCAACCAUUUAAUAAAACUGAGAUAGAAUUCCAUCAGUUUGAAGGGAUGGAGAAAGAGAGGACCAUGGAUGUUUUGAGGGAUGGUGGGACAUCUCUGAGCUACCAGUGAGACACAGACAUGAAAGAACCUAAUAGGAUUCUAAGAUAAAACAUGAAGCAGCAGCACCAUUGAAUAAGAAAAGAGCCCAUCUAGGAUAUCAUCUGUAAUCCAAGCUGAUUUUGUUCACACAGGACAUCUCCAGCAAGAACCAAAAAUCAGGCAUGUAAGUGCAUACAUUAAAAAAAAAAAAAAAGCCUAUUUUUUAGAGAGACAUUUAAAAUUGGUUUCUUUCUUCUGCCAAAAUAAAUGUAGCAAUAAAUGUGUCAAUAAAAAUGUUACAGUGAAUAACAAAAUGUGUAUGUUUGGGUGUGUAUGCCAGGGAAGGAGAGGAGAAUUGCUUAAUUUAAAGAGCUUUACUGGAAUGAGAUUUAAUGGCUUUGAGUUAUCCAUUAAUAAAACUUAGUCUAGACAAUUGGAGGAGAUUAGAAGAUUGGAAGAUGAAGAAUGUCCCAAACAGAGCAUGGGGAAAUCUGCUUGUCCCAAGAUGAAGCCUGGGAUGGAAUUUGCCAUGACUGCAUAACACAGUCUGGGAGUUUGGGAUGCUUUGGACAUCAAAUUCAAGAAAAAAAAAAUUAUAUAUAUAUAUUUGUUAAGAUUUCUUGGAGCUUAUAUUUUGUUGAUAUUAUGCUUAAGAUCCAAUCAUUAAUUGUAGAGUUUAGUAAAUUUUUGUCCAGCAGGUUCUUCUUUGGUGUAUCUAUUUUCUUCUGAGCUUCUCCUUGCUGCCAGGCAGAAAACAGCAACAUUCUAAGUGCAAAGGCUUAGAAAAAACUAAAGUGCUUAAUUGGGAUCUGCUGUUUGCAUGCUCAGGAUUAUGAACCCUCUCCUGGUUUGAGAAUAAUAAAGAAUUAUGGUAACAACCAGAUUGGCAAUGUCCAGGGGCUGUUUUCCUUUGCUCUGUGCCACUUGGGAGUUUAUUUAUGAGAGCUGUCCUGCCAUGGAAUUUAUAGGAUAUCUGUUUUUCCUCCUUCCCCUUCAUUGUGCCAUAUUGUUUUGGUUGUAGUUUCUUGGGUGUUGGUUUGGUUUGUUUCUUUUCUGAAUUUAGAUUCUGAACAGCAGAAGUUUCAAGAUUAGUCGAGAAAAGCUUAGGGAGUGCUUUUGGUUUUUUAGGGUUUUUGGAGACUAAGAAUAGAUGUUCUGUGAACUCUUCUGAGUAUAUAUUUAUGUUCAUGGAACUGAACUUGAUGACCCAGGUCACUCUUUUCCUAAAUUCUAAUGGAAUCUGCAGUUAUUUUUUGCUUUUAUGUCCCCGUUUCAACUGAGUUUCUGAAAGUUUCACAGCUGGGAGUAAAGCAAAAGAUCAAUUUUCUUUUUUUCUUGUGAGGUUUUUCUCUUUUUUUUUUUCUCCCCCAGUUCUGUGUAAGGAAUCACAAGGACAAAACCCUUUCAGAACUUGGUUGAGGAAGCUCACUUCCUUCCAGAAAAAUGGAAUGUCUAAUUUGGCACAGUUCUUGCAUUUAUUUGCAGUAGGUUAACAGUGAUGCACUCUGAACAUAGAAAAUUAAACCAUUUGGUACUUCUUGAAAAUAAGAUCUUCACAUGAAGAUUGUAGUGUGAAGUCUAUUCACAAGGAGAAUUAUAAGAACCUCUGUUCCUGCCUUACAUCAUUGCAAAAUUCAGAAUUUGUCAAUCCACAAAAAACAAAAACAAAACCAAAAAGUCCUGUACAGAGUGAAAACCACUGGGUUUUCUUCUAAUUCACAUCUUAAAUACUCAGGCUAUUUUUUGUCACAGUGUCACUGAAAAAAAAAGCCACCACAAUAUUUCUGCUGGUCACUGUUCUUAGUACAGGUGACCUGAUUUUGUUUAGUAAUGACUGAUGCCACUGCAUUGCUGGAAAUGCAGGUGGACACCUGAUGAAGCAGAAAUGAAUGAAUCUCAUCACCAAAAUAUCAUAGUGAACCUCAGGAAAAUACAAAUGCAACAAAACAGAGGUUUGUUAUUCGAGUUUUCUUGGAGCUGCAGAGGUAUAAAGCAUGUGUAAAGUAAUAUCAUAUUUAUCCAGACAAACCAAUAACACCAAGAGCAUGGGUGAUCAUCUGAAGUUCCAUAAUUUAUUCCUGGACAAUAUUGGUUGGUUUUGUCUCACAGUCACAAAAAUACUCACAAUCGUUUCCUUGAGAACUGAAAUCUACAGUGGGGCCAGGGAAUCUACAGGAGGUCCUUCCUCUGGGAGAAGACACCCCUUCACUCUCAGAAUCAUCACAACAACAUUGCAAAAUAUGCAAAAUGGAUGAUCAUAAAAAAGAUUGCAAUGUUAUAAGGUUCUGGACAGAAUUAAUAUGAUGUACCAGCAGUCCAUCCUCUAAAUAAAUUGGGGACAAUAAUGACUCAGUUCAGUCAUGUCCUGCUGAGGUUAAAGAUAGAAAAUGGGCACAACUGCUCACAGGUGGGUGUAUAACAGACAUUACUCAAAGACAAUGCUCCAGUUUGCUGAUCACUGAGAAAGUCUUGAAUAUUAGAAAUGAAAAUGUUAUUACCUGCUGAAUAUAACCCCAAAGCUCCUUUGUGCUGGGAGCCUGAGUACUGUUCCCAAAAUCAUUCCCUACAGGUCAUAAAGUACCUGCAAAUCUCUCUUAUGUUGCUCCUGGCAACAGGGAACUUAAAAAGUUAAAACUAAGACUGUGAGAGCAAAGCAAGCUAUGAAAUAAUCAUAAUGCAUACAAUUAAUUGUUAUCUUGUUGGGCAUAACCACUUCUAAAAGUCUUGUUUGGAGUAUUACAAGUCAUCCUGAAGCAGAGGCAUUCAGAAGUCAUUAAUAUUUUAACUAUUCUUGACCUUGGAUCUUCUGGAGAAGCCACUGACCUAGUUUGGUCUGUUUCUUCAGCUACUCCAGGAAGUUUUGCAACUGAAUAGAAAAAGAGAAAAAGCUCUUUCCAGAUCUCAGGAGAGAGAAGAGAGAAGGUAUGGAUCCUUUCAAGGGCUGAUGGACAUCCACAAUCUGUAUGACCCACCCCUACAGGACAAGAAUAUGAAAAAUCUUGCAAAUAUUGUACCCACAGACAAGAGGCAGAAAUUGGAGUCAAUUCCUCAACACCCUACUGUGGCAAACAUUCCUUUGAUUGUGGCUUCCUUAUUAUAAGUCAUGAAUUAGGAUUUAGCAUGCAAUUAUAAACAAAAUUGAAUCCUAGAAGAACCCAUAAGUAGCAUUCAAAUCUCAAAUUAAAAAUUACAAUUAUUCCUCAUCUAGAUCAAGUUUAUUCCUUCAGUCUGACGUUUUACUUCUCUUUCUUCUGGACAGUGGGAUUAUCUUGAUUAAAUCUGUGAUUCUGUGAUUUCUUUUGAGUUUUUUUUUUUUCCCUAUGCUUUGCACUUACUGGGGAGGGGGAAAAGAAUAUUGGCAUCUGCAAAGCAAUUGACUGUGCAGCCUGAUCAUUUGCUAAGCAUUAUUAAAAGCUCCCUGAAAUCACUCCAGUGCUUUGCCCUUUACAAGCCAUCAGCCAUCAAUUCAGACCAUCAAAUGUGAUUACCAGCACUCCUCCUGAAGCUACUUCCAAGCCAUUAGGCUGAUCGAAAAGCUGUGUCUUUCUCUUCCUCCCAAGUGCAUGUAAAUCCAGCAGACCCUGCUCCUGUGUUUGGGUGGUGAUUCAUUACACUUCUGAAUAGCAUUUGUGGUGUUACAACUCCAAGACGAGUCAGAAUUCAUUAAAUUUUCAGAUAUUGUCCUUAUUUAAGGGAACUUUUUCAGAAAUAGGCCCACAUGUUCCUCUCUCUUCUCUGUGCCUCUAUCCAUUAUGUAUUUAAAAUGUUCUGCUGGUGUGUAAAGAGAUUUAAUGACAGUGGCUUGGAAAAAUACAAUCAGAAAAGAAUAAAACUUUUCUGCCAAAA